rnacentral:rRNA from 1 species
CGGAAAAAGAGGAGUGGCGAACGGGUGAGUAACACGUGGGUAACCUGCCCAUCAGAAGGGGAUAACACUUGGAAACAGGUGCUAAUACCGUAUAACAAUCGAAACCGCAUGGUUUUGAUUUGAAAGGCGCUUUCGGGUGUCGCUGAUGGAUGGACCCGCGGUGCAUUAGCUAGUUGGUGAGGUAACGGCUCACCAAGGCGACGAUGCAUAGCCGACCUGAGAGGGUGAUCGGCCACAUUGGGACUGAGACACGGCCCAAACUCCUACGGGAGGCAGCAGUAGGGAAUCUUCGGCAAUGGACGAAAGUCUGACCGAGCAACGCCGCGUGAGUGAAGAAGGUUUUCGGAUCGUAAAACUCUGUUGUUAGAGAAGAACAAGGAUGAGAGUAACUGUUCAUCCCUUGACGGUAUCUAACCAGAAAGCCACGGCUAACUACGUGCCAGCAGCCGCGGUAAUACGUAGGUGGCAAGCGUUGUCCGGAUUUAUUGGGCGUAAAGCGAGCGCAGGCGGUUUCUUAAGUCUGAUGUGAAAGCCCCCGGCUCAACCGGGGAGGGUCAUUGGAAACUGGGAGACUUGAGUGCAGAAGAGGAGAGUGGAAUUCCAUGUGUAGCGGUGAAAUGCGUAGAUAUAUGGAGGAACACCAGUGGCGAAGGCGGCUCUCUGGUCUGUAACUGACGCUGAGGCUCGAAAGCGUGGGGAGCAAACAGGAUUAGAUACCCUGGUAGUCCACGCCGU